AGCGCUGAAAGCAUCUAAGUGCGAAACCAACUACAAGAUCAGUUCUCACUUCAGGCCCGUUGGAGAUGACAACGUUGAUAGGCGGUAGGUCCAAGCACAGUAAUGUGUUCAGCCGAGCCGUACUAAUCGGCCGUGUGACUUGAUUUC
rnacentral:rRNA from 1 species